rnacentral:rRNA from 1 species
UUCCGGUUGAUCCUGCCAGAGGUCACUGCUAUCGGGGUUCGAUUAAGCCAUGCGAGUCGAGAGGGUUCGGCCCUCGGCGUACUGCUCAGUAACACGUGGAUAACCUGCCCUAGGGGAGGGGAUAACCCCGGGAAACUGGGGAUAAUACCCUAUAGGUUACAGAUGCUGGAAUGCCCUGUAACCAAAAGCUCCGGCGCCCUAGGAUGGAUCUGCGGCCGAUUAGGUUGUUGUUGGGGUAACGGCCCAACAAGCCCGUAAUCGGUACGGGUUGUGGGAGCAAGAGCCCGGAGUUGGAUUCUGAGACACGAAUCCAGGCCCUACGGGGCGCAGCAGGCGCGAAACCUUUACAAUGCGGGCAACCGUGAUAAGGGAACCUCGAGUGCCUGUAAACGCAGGCUGUUCAGGUGUUUAAAACGCACCUGGAGAAAGGGCCGGGCAAGACCGGUGCCAGCCGCCGCGGUAAUACCGGCGGCUCGAGUGGUGGCCGCUUUUAUUGGGCUUAAAGCGUUCGUAGCUGGGUUGUUAAGUCUCUUGGGAAAUCUGGCGGCUUAACCGUCAGGCGUCUAAGGAUACUGGCAAUCUUGGAACCGGGAGAGGUGAGGGUACUUCGGGGGUAGGGUGAAUCCUGUAAUCCUCGAGG